rnacentral:rRNA from 1 species
UACGAAGGGUGCAAGCGUUAAUCGGAAUUACUGGGCGUAAAGCGUGCGCAGGCGGUUUUGUAAGACAGGCGUGAAAUCCCCGGGCUCAACCUGGGAAUGGCGCUUGUGACUGCAGUGCUGGAGUGCGGCAGAGGGGGAUGGAAUUCCGCGUGUAGCAGUGAAAUGCGUAGAUAUGCGGAGGAACACCAAUGGCGAAGGCAAUCCCCUGGGCCUGUACUGACGCUCAUGCACGAAAGCGUGGGGAGCAAACAGG